AUGAAAAUAUAGACAUGCGCGCAUACACCGUCGUGAGUGGGCGUGCAUAGCUUUCUGAAAACUAAAAAACAAGCAAUUGUCAACUGCUGAAAGCAGAGCGGGUGUUUUGGACGACCACAUUGAACAGUGAAAGUUACAUGGUGUGCUCGAUCAGCUAAUAACAUCAGUUGAACGGGCUAUCAGUGGCUGGAUUGGGCGGGCCUUUGAGUAGCGCGUGCGUCCGGCGAUUGGUCGUCGCCUGCAGGACACGCCCCCGAUCGGUUGGCCGGCAGAAGGCACGUCACUCCGGCGUGGCCCCGCUCACCGCGAGGAGAGGUCCCGCCCGGCCAGGCCCGCCACGUAAUGUAAGUACUCAACGCGUUGGUGUCCCGAAUCGGACACAGAUCGCUGUCUUAGGAGCUCGAAGGCCGUAGCGCCAAAAAUGUCCCGAGGGUAGCCUCCAGCAGCGACUGGGUUGAUGCUCCAGUACGCAUCGGCUUCUGGCGAUACCCCGGUCGCGUGUAGUUUGGAAAGGUACUGUGGCGGUUCAGUUGGGCGCUUUCGCAGAUUCCGCUAGUGUUCUGACACGGAAUCGACCUUACUUUCCAGAAUGGCGCUCUGGGUACGCGUGACGACGGUGCUGACGGCUCUAGCGCGCAGUGCCCACCCAGCUACUGUUAACCUGCUGUUUAUCAAUGAGAAAAACAAUACCAUGGCACCAAGCGCUAUCGAUGCUGCAAUAAGUGACAUUGCUGACCAGAACAUUGGCAUAAGUGUGAACAAGUACAUGGUUGAAAACAUGGAAGAUGAAUACCUGGCAACCACGGACAUUUGCGACCAGGUGAAAACGGCUAUAGACGCCGGCAAGCGGCCUCACCUAAUUGUUGACACCACACUGAGCGGCACCAGCUCCGAGAUAGCCAAGUCUGUCUCCAAGGCGCUGGCUAUUCCCACCGUCAGCGGCUCCUACGGUGACGUUGGUGACCUCAGGCAGUGGCGAAACCUGACGACGGAGGAGCAGAAGUACCUGGUGCAGAUCCUGCCGCCCGCAGACAGUGCCGUCCAGGUUAUUCGCAAGAUCGUCAUGGACCAGAACAUCACCAGUGCCGGCAUCAUCUUUGACGACUCGUUCGUAAUGGACUACAAGUACAAGUCGCUGCUGCAGAAUGUGCCAUGCCGCCACAUCAUCAGCCACCUACCUGCCGGUAACGAGAGCGCCGCGCUGGCGCAGACGGCGCGCUUCAAGCAGGCAGACCUGGUCAACUUCUUCGUAAUCGGCCGGCCCGAUACUGUCAAGCUCGUGCUCCAGGCCGGAAACAUGCACAAGCUGUACGGCAGAAAGUAUGCCUGGUUCGUCAUCAGUAAGGACACGGACCCUGUACAGUGCGCCUGCACCAAUGCCACGGUAAUCCACAUCGUACCGAACCCAUCAGCAGCCGCCCAGCAGCGGCUGGAGGCGCUCAAGGUCAACCAGGGCCUGUCGGCUGAGCCACGCAUCGACGCCGCCUUUUACUUCGACCUGACGCGGAAGGCUAUCCAGGCGGUCAACGACAUGAUGGUGGCUGGCCAGUUUCCCAGCGACUACUCGGUGCCCACCUGCGAAGCCUACCAAAAUGGAGACCGGCAAACCAGGACCAACCUGGAUCUGAUGGGUGCGCUUCAAAGAAUCAGCGUCGCGGACACGUACGGGCAAAUGGCGCUGACAUCCAACGGCAUGUCACACAUGGAGUUCUCGAUGAAGCUGUUCAAGACGCACAUCCUCUCCUCCCGCGUGGUCAGCCGCGACGCCGUCGGCAUUUACACAACCGGAACUCCGGUCGGCGAAUUCAGCGAACUCAACCAGGAGGCCUUCAACAGCUUCAAGGCGGUUACAGUCUACAAGAUUGUUACGCUAGAGCAACCACCAUUCAUUAUCAAGAAGGGCAAAGAUGCAAACGGAAAGACGAUUUUUGAUGGGUAUUGUAUCGAGCUGCUUCACGACAUCCAGGAAAUUCUUAACUUUGAGUACGAUAUCUACGAAGUGGAGGACGGAAAAUAUGGCGUGAUGGACGAGAACAAUGAAUGGAACGGCAUGAUCCGCGAGCUGGUGGACAAGAAGGCGGAUAUCGCAUUAUCGGCGCUGUCCGUGAUGGCGGAGCGAGAGAACGUCGUCGAUUUCACCAUUCCCUACUACGACCUGGUGGGCAUAACCAUUCUUAUGAAGAAGCCGAAGGCUACGCCAUCCCUUUUCAAGUUCCUGACAGUGUUGGAGACGGACGUCUGGGGCUGCAUUCUCGGAGCGUACUUCGUCACCAGCAUUCUGCUCUAUGUCUUCGAUCGCUUCAGUCCCUACAGCUAUCAGAACAACAAGGAGAAGUACCUGGAGGAUGACGAGAAAAGGGAGUUCAGCAUCAAGGAGAGUCUGUGGUUUUGCAUGACUUCCUUGACGCCGCAGGGAGGAGGCGAGGCGCCGAAGAACAUGUCGGGACGUCUGGUGGCCGCCACCUGGUGGCUCUUCGGUUUCAUCAUCAUCGCCUCCUACACGGCCAACUUGGCUGCUUUUCUUACCGUGUCUCGACUGGAUUCUCCCAUUGAAUCGCUGGAGGGACUCGCCAAGCAGUACAAGGUACAAUACGCUCCAAUGAAUGGCACAUCAACAAUGAACUACUUCAAACGAAUGGCCUACAUAGAGCAGAAAUUCUAUGAAAUCUGGAAGGAUAUGUCGCUGAACGACAGCAUGACCGAGGUUGAGCGAGCCAAGCUGGCCGUUUGGGACUACCCAGUCAGCGACCGCUACACCAAGAUGUGGAACGCCAUGCAAGAGGCCGGCCUGCCGGACGACUUCGAGUCGGCCGUGUCGCGCGUUCUGGACAGCCCCUCCACCAGCGAGGGGUUCGCUUAUCUCGGCGACGCCACCGACAUCCGCUACCAGGUGAUAACCAGCUGCGAUCUGCAAAUGGUCGGCGAGGAGUUCUCUCGCAAGCCGUACGCCAUCGCUGUACAGCGGGGGUCGAGCCUGAAGGAGAUCUUUAAUGAGGCGAUUCUUAAACUGCUGAAUCGGCGCAAGCUGGAGGUGCUGAAGGAGAAGUGGUGGAACCAAAACCCGGCUCGGAAAUAUUGCGAACGAGAAGACGACCAAUCGGAGGGCAUUUCCAUCCAGAACAUCGGUGGCGUGUUCAUCGUCAUAUUCGUGGGCAUCGCGCUGGCCUGCAUCACGCUGCUGGGCGAGUACUGGUACUACAAGUACUGGAAGCCCAGUCGGGUCACCAGCCCGCAGAACCCCAAGAUCCUGGCGGUGCGCCCCGAUCCAGCAGCCAAGACCAACUUCAACACCGAGUACAAGUAGGCACCCGGACGGGGACCUUUGGGGUGCGUUGGCACCCGGAGGACAAGGACCUCUGAGGUCGCGGCCCGGCGACCAGCCGUACGAACUUAACGCCUCUGGGAACCCCUGG
rnacentral:misc_RNA from 1 species